GAUGAUCCGACGGUGGAGAAGAGAGAGAGAAAGAGUAGGGGAAAAAACGCACUCCAGUGAGCACCACAGUGAGGUUGGUUGAAGGGAAUUUUGGAUAAGAGCGAAAUGACAGAAAUGCCCUGCUUUUUACCACUCCUGUGCCGUCGGCGCAUGGUUGCUGACGCAUUUCUUUACGCAUGGAUGUCAAACUGGGUAAGUUUGUAAUCGUUAGAGAUGUAACUGGAUAACAUGUUUAAUGAGUUUGAGUUGAUUUUAUUUUUUUUAGUAUUGGAGUCUAAUUCAAUCUGGAUCAAAUCUUUGUACCGAAUGGAUUAAAUAAUGUGUUUUGUGUUUUUUUUUAA